CACCCAAUAGCACAUGGUGUGCACCUGUCUUCCUUCAGAGCAAGGACAUGAUGUAGGCAGGAGGCCCCCGUUCGAUUCGGGGUUGGGUGA